rnacentral:rRNA from 1 species
CACGUAGGGGGCAAGCGUUGUCCGGAUUUAUUGGGCGUAAAGAGCUCGUAGGCGGCUCAGUAAGUCGGGUGUGAAACCUCCAGGCUCAACCUGGAGACGCCAUCCGAUACUGCUGUGGCUAGAGUCCGGUAGGGGAGCGUGGAAUUCCUGGUGUAGCGGUGAAAUGCGCAGAUAUCAGGAGGAACACCAGCGGCGAAGGCGGGUCUCUGGGCCGAUACUGGCGCUGAGAAGCGAAAGCGUGGGGAGCGAACAGG